rnacentral:rRNA from 1 species
CCUACGGGAGGCAGCAGUGAGGAAUAUUGGUCAAUGGGCGAGAGCCUGAACCAGCCAAGUCGCGUGAGGGAGUACUGCCCUAUGGGUUGUAAACCUCUUUUGUCGGGGAGCAAAAGCCGGACGUGUCCGGCUGUGAGAGUACCCGAAGAAAAAGCAUCGGCUAACUCCGUGCCAGCAGCCGCGGUAAUACGGGGGAUGCGAGCGUUAUCCGGAUUUAUGGGGUUUAAAGGGUGCGCAGGCGGAUUUUUAAGUCAGCGGUCAAAUCGUGGGGCUCAACCCCAUCCAGCCGUUGAAACUGGGGAUCUAGAGUGUGCGAGAGGUAUGCGGAAUGCGUGGUGUAGCGGUGAAAUGCAUUGAUAUCACGCAGAACCCCGAUUGCGAAGGCAGCAUACCGGUGCACAACUGACGCUCAGGCACGAAAGCGUGGGUAUCGAACAGGAUUAGAUACCCCUGUAGUC